ensembl:lncRNA
AACAUUCAGUUGGAUCAACUGAGUUGUUUAUUACAAUUAUGCUUCAUUAACAAAUACAACAGAAAAAAAAUCCCUUACAUGUAUACAAUAAACACAAGGACUAAAACAAUAAAAGCAGCAGACUUUACAAAUCAUCAACAGGUGUGCACAUCUUACUACAAUAUAAUAGCAGGCCUGUCGGACAAGUUAUUCAAGUUGGUCAGUGCGCAUGUGCCAAGCAGCCUGCAGCUCACACACACACACACACAGCAUGCCCGUCCGCACUUUGUGGCUCAAAUGUAAUAUUACCCUCCUCCUUGAGCCUCCCGAAAUGUCUUUACACUUUUUUGCUCAAACUUAAUAUAACCCUCUUCCUUGAACCUCCCGAAAUGUCUUAGGGAAUUCAUAUCCCCCCUUCCCCCUGUGGACUGUUUUAGUUGUUUUAUUUUUCUUAUGUUUUGUGUGUAUGCUAUGUGUGACUGUAGGCUACUGCUGCCUGUCUUGGCCAGGACACUUGAAGAGAUGUUUAAUCUCAAUGUUGAUCAUUAUUUUCAACUAACAAUGGUAGUUCCCAUGCAUUUUAAAAUGUCAAUGCACCUUUCAGCCCAGAAUAAGAGUAAAAGCUUUUGAAUAAUUGAUUUGAAUGCAUAGUAUACUACAAUUUCCAUUGAACAAAUACCCGUUACCCGUAAAUUGACUCAUUUUAUAAUGUAAUCAAUGAUCACACACUAGCUGCUUUCAGACACAAGUGUAAGUCCUGAUAUUCUCCUGCUAUUCUCCUGAUGGGCUGUAUGUGUGAUCAACAUAUCCUGACAUUUGUACAUUGAAAAUCUCCAGAAUAAUACUGCCCCUUCAGUGGGGGCAGUAUUCAGUGGGCGUGUCUGACGCUUCUGCGUGUUAUUGAGUGAACCCCUUAAUGAUAAUAAGCGUGUUGCCUAUUGUUCGCUGAAUGGUGAAAAGUAUUUAUUCCUCUUUUAAGUUAUUUGUGGUGAACGCUUAAAGAUAGGUCUUAUCGUAACCCUAAAAGUACAAAUCAUACAAUAAAUUACAAUAAAUUAGUUCACAGCUGCACGUGUGUAGAAAAUGUUUUUCUAUUAUUAUUCCUGACAACAGUCAGCGGAACAUUAUAGGAUCCGGUCCUUCCACGCCCUGUUUUCUCAGUUAAACACAGAAAUCAACUACAUUUGUCGAAGUGUUAGUUAUAUGAGAAAUGAAGCAAAAGGAUAUGCUCUCUUUCUCCGGUAAUGCAGUCAUUCGCGACACCUUUCUUCUUCGUCGUUUCUUCUAUUUGUCUCAAACUCAUGCUCCAAUCUUUCAUUGAUCAAUGCUGAUCAAUGCUUGGAAUUUUUGCCCAUUCUGCCUCCAUUUUGUCUAUGGUCAAACCAAAACAAUCUACAGUGAGAGCAACCACGCUUAUCCAACCUCUUGCGAACUUAGACCCUAUGUAAUAUCCUGCCCCUUGCCAGCCCACCCCCCUAAACCCCCCGUUGAUUCUACUGAUGUCUAAACGACAUCGAUGUCCGAAUAUAAAGCCUCAAGUGUGAAUCGCCCUCAGGGAAAAAUCUCCUGGUAUACAAACUCGGCAAAAACGUGUGAAAGCGCCUUAUAAGUAGAAAAUUAUUAUGCUUGCCUCAUUACGUAAUAGGUGAACCAAAAUGUUAUGCAGUGUCACAUUAUAGGAAAAAAAUAAUUAUAUUAUGCGCUCAGAAUUUUUUUACAUUAUCGACUGGGGUUUCCACAUUAUUAGUAUGGGUUUAACUAGAGGUUGAGCGUGCGCAAUGCGCGCACGGACACUGCAGUAUCUUUAAUAACUGAAUACGUCUGUGGCGGUUUGGUUCCCGAACAGACCACAAAAAAUCAAGAUACAGGUGAAAGUUAUUUACAACAUGCAACAUUUCCCAUAGACCUCUUGGUAAUUAUGAAUAAAAUAUAAAAUCUGCUUUAAAUCAUGUUCCAUGUUAGGAUUAUGACAAAUAUAUUGAUAUCAGAGCCCUAAAGACCAAAACGGAGAGAAAAAAAAAAGAGAGAGAGACAGAGAGAGGAAAAGAGAGAGAGCGAGAGACUACAAUAAGUUCCACAGAGACAAUGAGUCAUCAGUCCUCUCAGGCCUCCAAACCCUCUUCAUCAAAAACCACUCAUCCUCCAACACAAAAGCAGUGUGUGUGUGUGUGUGUGUUUGUGCACAUGUGUCUGUGUGUGUGUGUGUGUGUGUGUGUGUGUGUGUG